rnacentral:rRNA from 1 species
UGGGGAAUCUUGCACAAUGGGGGAAACCCUGAUGCAGCGACGCCGCGUGAGCGAUGAAGCCCUUCGGGGUGUAAAGCUCUUUCGGCAGGAACGAUAAUGACGGUACCUGCAGAAGAAGCUGCGGCUAACUACGUGCCAGCAGCCGCGGUAAUACGUAGGCAGCAAGCGUUGUUCGGAGUUACUGGGCGUAAAGAGUAUGUAGGCGGUGUUCUAAGUUUGGUGUGAAAUCUCCCGGCUCAACCGGGAGGGUGCGCCGAAGACUGGGAUGCUUGAGUGUCGGAGAGGAACGCGGAAUUCCUGGUGUAGCGGUGAAAUGCGUAGAUAUCAGGAGGAACACCAGUGGUGUAGACGGCGUUCUGGACGAUUACUGACGCUGAGAUACGAAAGCGUGGGGAGCAAACAG